rnacentral:rRNA from 1 species
GACGAACGCUGGCGGCGUGCUUAACACAUGCAAGUCGAGCGGUAAGGCCCUUCGGGGUACACGAGCGGCGAACGGGUGAGUAACACGUGGGUGAUCUGCCUCGUACUCUGGGAUAAGCCUGGGAAACUGGGUCUAAUACCGGAUAUGACCACGAAUCGCAUGGUUUGUGGUGGAAAGAUUUAUCGGUGCGAGAUGGGCCCGCGGCCUAUCAGCUUGUUGGUGGGGUAAUGGCCUACCAAGGCGACGACGGGUAGCCGACCUGAGAGGGUGACCGGCCACACUGGGACUGAGACACGGCCCAGACUCCUACGGGAGGCAGCAGUGGGGAAUAUUGCACAAUGGGCGAAAGCCUGAUGCAGCGACGCCGCGUGAGGGAUGACGGCCUUCGGGUUGUAAACCUCUUUCGACAGGGACGAAGCGCAAGUGACGGUACCUGUAGAAGAAGCACCGGCCAACUACGUGCCAGCAGCCGCG